AUACGGAAGGUCCGGGCGUUAUCCGGAUUUAUUGGGUUUAAAGGGAGCGCAGGCGGCACUUCAAGCGUGACGUUAAAUUUCGGGGCUCACCCCCGUUGUGCGUCGCGAACUGUUGUGCUUGAGUAGGCGGCAGGGAGGCGGAAUUCGCGGUGUAGCGGUGAAAUGCUUAGAUAUCGCGAGGAACUCCGAUAGCGCAGGCAGCCUCCCGUUGCUUUACUGACGCUCAUGCUCGAAGGUGCGGGUAUCGAACAGGAUUAGAUACCCUGGUAGUCCGCACUGUAAACGAUGGAUGCCCGCUGUUGGGCCUUUUGGGUUCAGUGGCCAAGAGAAAUCGUUAAGCAUCCCACCUGGGGAGUACGCCGGCAACGGUGAAACUCAAAUGAAUUGGCGGGG
rnacentral:rRNA from 1 species